ACCUAAUGAAUUAUCGUCGGUGCUGAAGAUUUCACUGGAUUCUCGCUUUUUCGAUUGGAGAAAAUCUCUUCUUCACUCAAAUCAUUGGGAUUUUUAAGGAUUUUUUUUGGUGAUUGGAUUAGUGGGAACUUCUGCAUUUCUGCAUUUUUUAAAAAAGUUUUGAUCGAAAUUUUGAUGAUCAAAGUGCCAAGCGAUUUCCCGGCUCUUUGGACCCAAAGUUAUCCAGUUAAACUUUUUUAAAAAAUGCGAUGAACAGCUCAUCUGCAGGACCCUCAUUGAAAUCUAAAGUCGGAUCUUCACAACCUUCUGAAACUUCAUUUAAGCGAAAGCGAGGAGUCUUUCAGAAAGACUUGCAGCACAUGAUGUAUGGUUUUGGAGAUGAUCCUAAUCCUCUUCCUGAAAGUGUGGCACUUGUAGAGGAUAUUGUCGUGGAGUAUGUAACAGAUUUGGCACACAAAGCCCAAGAUAUAGGAUCAAACAGGGGAAAGCUUGCAGUUGAUGAUUUUCUGUACUUAAUUCGCAAGGACCUCCCAAAACUUAACCGCUGUACAGAACUUUUAUCUAUGCAAGAGGAGCUGAAACAAGCAAGGAAGGCUUUUGAAGUGGAUGAGGACAAGUUAGCAUCUAUUGAGUGAGACAUGAGAAAGCAUGAAUUAACUGGCAUCCUGUUUUUUUUUUUUUUUUUUUUUUUU
rnacentral:misc_RNA from 1 species